rnacentral:lncRNA from 1 species
CGGCUUUGCCACCACACAGGCUUUUGAGGCAGGAGGCGGAGACUUCAGAACCCACUCCUGAGAACAGCGGAGCCAGGCGCUUAGAGGAAGACAAAUGCUGCCAGGACACGGACUGUCCAGGGAUUACAUUCCAGCAUCUUAUUAGAGGACCAAAGCAGAGGGUGCUGUUUCAACGCCACCACCAGGAGAGAGGCAGAGGGGCUGUGCCGUGCUAGAGUCCUCAGGGAGGGAGUGACCUCGACCCUGGCUGUGCUGCAAGCUGACUCCAGCCUUGGGGUCAGCAGCACCCGGUGAACAGCAGCAGGAGGAGCCGCUAGAGCAGCUGCUCGUGGGCAGAGCUGCCCUUGGACAACUCCUGCCACCACCCCCUCCCCAGAGGAGCCCAAGGCAGGGGAGGCUCAGCAUGGAAUGAAACAGGGGAGUGAGGGACACAAGGAGGUGGGAAGUGGGAGAGUCCCAGCCCCACCAAGUACGCAGAGAUCCCCUCGUCGUCCUGGACAUCACAGGGACACCUGCAGGCUGGGAGACCAGGUCCUCUGUGCAUGGGCCCGGGAGGCAGACCUGCCCUAAGGGUGAUGCAGAGGCCACAGGUGCUGCACGCACCAGCACCCACUCUAGACAUCAGCCUCCAGGUUGACUAAGGGUCAGGUCAUGUUUGAAACCAUGCUUGGCUGGACCAGGACCCAUGGCAAGAGCACCUGGGCACCAGUGUUUAGCCCUGGUCUGCAGGAAGGAGGACAGCAGACUUUAGGACCCCACAGCACGGCAGUGCUGACCAUUUCACCCACUUGGCCUCCUUGAGGAAUAGGGAUGGGGAGCCCUCUGGGGAUGGGCAAGGCCUUCCAGGACAGGCUCGGUUCUGGUCCCCUGCUUUUUGAGGUUGGGUUAAAAUUCUGACCAUGGCAGAGGGGUUACAGCUCAGGUUCCCACACCUCGCUUUUCACAGCCUCUGAGGGCAGCAGUGCACGUGGCGGAGACGUCUCCCAUGAGGCCAAGGCCUCCAGUGCUCACCGAUGCCCUCUGCGAAGUUGGGGUAGAACUUGUCAGUGAAGAGGGGCUCGGGCAGCUCACGGAAGUACAGCUUCAGCGUGCCUGCGAUGGCGUUCAUGUCCGUCUCGCUCAUCAUCACCGACACGUCCUUGUUAUCUGGAAAGAGCAGGGAAAUGCAGCGGCCUCCUUGAAGAUCCUGAUAAAUGAAGAAAAGACACAGAGAAGGAUGUGACAUGCCUGGGCCAUGGAGCACUCUGAGAUCUCAUUGCGGACACCACUGCCCACACCUCCAUCCCGUCCUGCGCAGGCCGACACUCACUGGCGUCGAAGGCUGCCUUCAGUGCCUGGAUGUCUGCGGCCACACUGGCCGGACACGCGGUAGAUGCCCACCUCCUCCAUGCCUCGGCGCUCGAUCUCCUCCACGCACUGGUGCACGAUGUAGGGCACCUUGGACCUCUCUCUCCUGCGGGAGGAGGGAAUGCUCUCAGUGUCCUAACAGCCCUGCUUGGGCCAUAACACAGGAGACCUGCUCCCUAUCUGCACACCCGGAGGUGGGGUGAGGACGGUGACGAAGGUACCCAGGUCUGGCGCUGCACACAGAGCCUUCUGCAUGCCUGUCCUCCCUCUGCAAGCUCUGUCCUCAUUGCAUGUACUUUCUCAGGAACCUUUCAAGCGGCCAGAACCCCUGCGAAUCACACAUGACCUUUGCGGGAAGGUCAGGAGGCCUGUCUAAGUCAAGUCAGCACAGGAAGGGCAUCUGACAGAUUCCAGGCCUGGGGUUAGCAGCCUGUGCCCCCGGCUGGGAGAUCAGACCCGGUGUUGGUCCUGCCACCCACGUGCUGUGUGAGAGGAGAAUCCCUGACCCCUGCCCUGGGCCUUAACACACAUCCGACGAAUGAAUGAAGGGUUGCCUCAGCACCGGUGCUCCAAGUCCUGCGAUGCUAAGUGCUUUUCUCCUCUGAGUCUUAGCAAUGGACAAUUCCAAUACCUCCACACAGGACACUAGAGUAAGAAUCCUUCACAGUUAGAACGCAGUGCUGUGCAGAGGCCCUAACUUGAGUUCUGUUUUGCACCUGGAUUUACCAGCACAUCAAAGCUGCUUCGCAAGCCCCCUCAUUAGCAGGGCUUAUCUGGGGGAGCUGCUGAUGGAGUCCUCGCUGCUCAUGCCCACAGCCCUCCCAGAGUGCUAUGCGAGUGGCUGCCAUGCAGUUGGGGGUGGGGCGUGGUGUUUAGACACAGAUAGGAGUCCAGGGUAUGACUAAUGGAGGCCCCGGCCCACGUGACCAGCAAGGUCAGAGGCCCAGCCAGAUUCCAUCCUAGGGAAGCAAAUAAAUUCUCAGAGGAAGUGGUCUGUGUCUGCAUGAACUGCUCUCAAACCAAGAAACAGGCUUCUCUUGGCAACUGACUCAUGACAAAGGG